UGAUGAUGAUAAUGAUGAUGUUGAUGACGAUGAUGAUGAUUAUCAUGAUCAUCAUGAUCAUCAUCAUGAUCAUCAUCAUCAUCAUCAUCAUCAUCAUCAUCA
rnacentral:pre_miRNA from 1 species